UGGCCCUGGCCUAUGCUUUGUCUGCUGUGUGCAAUUCUAAUAGUGAACUGGCAGGACAUACAGCAAUCGCCCUCUCUGUUCAGGAGGGAUGCCCUGAGCAUAGGCCUGGAUCUUAAAGGCCUGACAAGACAAU